GAUGAACGCUGGCGGCGUGCCUAAUACAUGCAAGUCGAGCGAACAGACGAGGAGCUUGCUCCUCUGACGUUAGCGGCGGACGGGUGAGUAACACGUGGAUAACCUACCUAUAAGACUGGGAUAACUUCGGGAAACCGGAGCUAAUACCGGAUAAUAUAUUGAACCGCAUGGUUCAAUAGUGAAAGACGGUUUUGCUGUCACUUAUAGAUGGAUCCGCGCCGCAUUAGCUAGUUGGUAAGGUAACGGCUUACCAAGGCGACGAUGCUUAGCCGACCUGAGAGGGUGAUCGGCCACACUGGAACAGAGACACGGUCCAGACUCCUACGGGAGGCAGCAGUAGGGAAUCUUCCGAAAUGGGCGAAAGCAUGACGGAGCAACGCCGCGUGAGUGAUGAAGGUCUUCGGAUCGUAAAACUCUGUUAUUAGGGAAGAACAAAUGUGUAAGUAACUAUGCACGUCUUGACGGUACCUAAUCAGAAAGCCACGGCUAACUACGUG
rnacentral:rRNA from 1 species